GUUUUAAUAGUUUAAUAAAAACAUUGGUCUUGUAAACCAAAAAUAAGAUUAUUUCUUUUAAAACU
rnacentral:tRNA from 1 species